rnacentral:tRNA from 1 species
GGCCGCCUGGCGAAAUGGUAUCGCGUCUGACUACGAUUCGUAACCAAGUUUAUCAGGAGAUUGCAGGUUCGAGCCCUGCGGUGGUCA